rnacentral:misc_RNA from 1 species
UCUCCGUAGGUGCACCUGCGGAAGGAUCAUUACCGUACCAAAAGUGAGGGGCAUUCGAGGGCCGUCCCUGACCCAUAAGUCGUGUACGCCCGUGUCUGUCCUUUAGCCUAAUAAUCCAUCCCAACCUCUGUGCCUAACCUCGUGGGUAUCCUUCGUGGUCAUCUCGGAAGGGGGUUCGUGUUUACACAUAAACGCCCUUUUUACAAGUGCAGUACUACCACGUGUAUGCAAUAAAUACAACUGUCAACAACGGAUCUCUCGGCUCUCGCAUCGUUGAAC